rnacentral:rRNA from 1 species
GAUGGGCCCUACAAGGUUACUGACUUCAGCCAAACUCCGAAUGCCGGGAAGUGAGAGCGUGGCAGUGAGACUGUGGGGGAUAAGCUUCAUAGUCGAGAGGGAAACAGCCCAGAUCGCCGGCUAAGGUCCCCAAGUCGUGGCUAAGUGGGAAAGGAUGUGGGACUCCCAAAACAACCAGGAGGUUGGCUUAGAAGCAGCCAUCCUUGAAAGAGUGCGUAAUAGCUCACUGGUCAAGUGAUUCCGCGCCGACAAUGUAGCGGGGCUCAAGUACACCGCCGAAACCGUGGCAUUCAGUUUUGCUGGAUGGGUAGGGGAGCGUCGUUCACGAGGUGAAGCCAGCGGGUAACUUCUGGUGGAUUGUGGACGAGUGAGAAUGCAGGCAUGAGUAGCGAAAGACGGGUGAGAAACCCGUCCUCCGAAAGACCAAGGGUUCCAGGGUCAAGCUAAUCUGCCCUGGGUAAGUCGGGACCUAAGGCGAGGCCGAAAGGCGUAGUCGAUGGACAACA